rnacentral:rRNA from 1 species
UACGGUGGGUGCAAGCGUUGUCCGGAUUUAUUGGGUUUAAAGGGUGCGUAGGUGGCUUGUUAAGUCCGGGGUGAAAGCCCACAGCUCAACUGUGGAACUGCCCUGGAUACUGGCAGGCUUGAGAGUCGUCGAGGGUGGCGGAAUGGACGGUGUAGCGGUGAAAUGCAUAGAUACCGUCCAGAACCCCAAUUGCGUAGGCAGCUGCCUAGGCGACAUCUGACACUGAGGCACGAAAGCGUGGGGAGCGAACAGG